CUUUAUCCAGGCUUGGGACCAGCUAAGCACAAAUUACUUAGGCAAAGUUGAGCCAAUAAAAUGAUAAUAAAUAUAAUUUAUAAAUAUAGAUAUAUGUUAAUUUUAUUUAAAUUUUCAUGUUAAGCAUUAAGAAACUAAAACCUAACAUAUUUAGGUGAACUUAUUUAGAGACAUACUUUAUUAUAUUUAUGUAAUUAUAGAUUUUUGUGGUGUUCUUCUUUGGUGACUAUUCGGGUAUACUUCAUACUUUGUCAUUGUGGGAUUUGGGGAGGGUUAGAUGUAGGUAACAUUUCUUUGGCAUUGCAAGAAGGCUGUGUUUUCAUGCUUUGAACCAGUGCCUUUAGAACAAUACAAGACCAAAUUUUUUUUAGGUUAUAUGACUACGUGAUGUAGAAUAAAGAACACAAAAGGAUGAGAGAGAAAUUUUCUAAGAAGGAAGAGAAACAAAUUCUCUAGAGAA
rnacentral:misc_RNA from 1 species